AGUGAACGCUGGCGGUAGGCCUAACACAUGCAAGUCGAACGGCAGCACAGUAAGAGCUUGCUCUUACGGGUGGCGAGUGGCGGACGGGUGAGGAAUACAUCGCAAUCUACUUUUUCGUGGGGGAUAACGUAGGGAAACUUACGCUAAUACCGCAUACGACCUACGGGUGAAAGCAGGGGAUCUUCGGACCUUGCGCGAUUGAAUGAGCCGAUGUCGGAUUAGCUAGUUGGCGGGGUAAAGGCCCACCAAGGCGACGAUCCGUAGCUGGUCUGAGAGGAUGAUCAGCCACACUGGAACUGAGACACGGUCCAGACUCCUACGGGAGGCAGCAGUGGGGAAUAUUGGACAAUGGGCGCAAGCCUGAUCCAGCCAUACCGCGUGGGUGAAGAAGGCCUUCGGGUUGUAAAGCCCUUUUGUUGGGAAAGAAAAGCAGCAGGUGAAUACCCCGCUGUUCUGACGGUACCCAAAGAAUAAGCACCGGCUAACUUCGUG
rnacentral:rRNA from 1 species